AUACGGAGGGUGCAAGCGUUAUCCGGAUUUAUUGGGUUUAAAGGGUUCGUAGGCGGAUCAAUAAGUCAGUGGUGAAAGCCUGUGGCUCAACCAUAGAACUGCCAUUGAUACUGUUGAUCUUGAGUACACUUGAAGUGGGCGGAAUGCGUCAUGUAGCGGUGAAAUGCAUAGAUAUGACGCAGAACACCGAUUGCGAAGGCAGCUCACUAAAUUGUAACUGACGCUGAGGAACGAAAGCGUGGGGAGCGAACAGAAUUAGAUACCCUAGUAGUCC
rnacentral:rRNA from 1 species